GUGCAAAUGACACCUCUAGAAACGUUUUCAAAGUUUCUGUACCUCCAGCUCUGAGAUUUCAGAGCGAUGCUCAUGGAAGCGAAUACUCAUGAGAGCAGAUGCUGUAAAAUUUAUCACUGGAAAUGCACAGAGCCAUCGUGGCCCUCGGAUUGAGCUAAGCCCAUAGAAAAGCUGCAAGUCUGGAGAAAUGAUUGCAGGGUGAUGCCUGGAAGCAUUCCCUUCCCAAAGGUUUUAGGAAGGGGGAAGCUGGAAAGCAGCUCCUCGGCUAGGAAGCUGUUAGUGGAGGUGCUGAGAUCUGAAGGGGAUGGAAAAUGUCCUUCUACAGGAAGAUGAAGAGGGACAGUUGAAACACAUGGAACUCACUUGCUUGGAUAAGAACUAUCUCCAGAUUAAGGGCUGGAAAGGAAAAGGAAAAUCUGGAUCGUGCCAGGAACAUCAUGACUUCACUCUGUGCCACUGAGGACCCGAAUUCCUCAGCGUGUGACAGUCCAGGCAACCCUCAUCAUUAACAACAAAGUCAAGUCCCAGGAGUGCAGGGUUACUCUCAUAAAUUGCAUUGCUGAGCAAGAGGUUGGCAGAUGCAGAGUUUUGGCUCAGGCUGCCUUGCAGGCUUUCCAUGGUGCUGGGUGAAGGAGGGAGAGGGGACUGCUCAACAGAUUAAAUCACUCCAAAACAAAACAAAAUAAAAAAAUAAUUAAAUUUUAAAAGGGACCUCAGUGAAUUUAGCUGGUAAAUAAAAAUAGAUGUUUUGCUGUGGCUAGAGUCUUAGCAAUGUCCCUAUCAGGUCUGCCCUGAAAAUAAACAGUGGGUGUAUAAUCUUCCUCCCCAUUGAAGUCAGCAGCAAUUUGAUGUUGGCUUUACCUAUGGAUGAUAAACUUGACUGUGUUUGCAGCCAUUCAGGGGAAAGCUUUCCCCCAUCUCACCCAGGAAAUCCUCAUAGAGUCACCAUCCCCAGAGAUGUCCAAGAAAUAUGGAGAUACGGC
rnacentral:lncRNA from 1 species